CCUACGGGCGGCAGCAGUGGGGAAUUUUGGACAAUGGGCGCAAGCCUGAUCCAGCAAUGCCGCGUGCAGGAUGAAGGCCUUCGGGUUGUAAACUGCUUUUGUACGGAACGAAAAGGCUCUGGCUAAUACCUGGGGCUGAUGACGGUACCGUAAGAAUAAGCACCGGCUAACUACGUGCCAGCAGCCGCGGUAAUACGUAGGGUGCGAGCGUUAAUCGGAAUUACUGGGCGUAAAGCGUGCGCAGGCGGUUUUGUAAGACGGGGGUGAAAUCCCCGGGCUAAACCUGGGAACGGCGUUUGUGACUGCAAGGCGGGAGUGCGGCAGAGGGGGGUGGAAUUCCGCGGGUAGCAGUGAAAUGCGUAGAUAUGCGGAGGAACACCGAUGGCGAAGGCAGCCCCCUGGGCCUGUACUGACGCUCAGGCACGAAAGCGUGGGGAGCAAACAGGAUUAGAUACCCGGGUAGU
rnacentral:rRNA from 1 species